AACCUCCGCAAUGUACGAAAGUGCGACGGGGGGAUCCCAAGUGUUAUGCUUUUUGUAUAACUUUUCAUUAGUGUAAAAAGCUUUUAGAAUAAGAGCUGGGCAAGACCGGUGCCAGCCGCCGCGGUAACACCGGCAGCUCGAGUGGUAGCUGUUUUUAUUGGGCCUAAAGCGUUCGUAGCCGGUUUGAUAAGUCUUUGGUGAAAGCUUGUAGCUUAACUAUAAGAAUUGCUGGAGAUACUAUCAGACUUGAAGUCGGGAGAGGUUAGAGGUACUACCGGGGUAGGGUGAAAUCCUAUAAUCCUGGGAGGACCACCUGUGGCGAAGGCGUCUAACUGGAACGAUCUUGACGGUGAGUAACGAAAGCCAGGGGCGCGAACCGGAUUAGAUACCCGGGUAGUCCUGGCCGUAAACGAUGUGGACUUGGUGUUGGAAUGGCUUUGAGUUGUUCCGGUGCCGAAGGGAAGCUGUUAAGUCCACCGCCUGGGAAGUACGGUCGCAAGAUUGAAACUUAAAGGAAUU
rnacentral:rRNA from 1 species